rnacentral:rRNA from 1 species
UACGGAGGGUGCAAACGUUGCUCGGAAUCACUGGGCGUAAAGGGCGCGUAGGCGGGGAGGUAAGUCGGGUGUGAAAUCCCUCGGCCCAACUGAGGAACUGAGCCCGAGACUGCUUCUCUUGAGUCCCGGAGAGGAAGAUGGAAUUCCCGGUGUAGCGGUGAAAUGUGUAGAGAUCGGGAGGAACACCUGUAGCGAAGGCGGUUCUCUGGGCCAAUACUGACGCUGAGGAGCGAAAGCGUGGGGAGCAAACAGG